GCUGGGACACCGCAGGAGGAAGGGUCUCACACUGUCCUGAGCUAGCCUUAGCUCAGACUUGUAGCAAUCCCACUGCCUCUACCCCCGGGUGCUGGAUCACAGGGGUGAGACACAUGCCCAGCUGGGAUGACGUUCUUAAGAACUACAUCAGAGGACCUGGGGGAAAGAGGCAGGAGUGGACAGAAGAAAGGUCAGCUGCAAGUCCAUCCCAGACGACCUCAGGCACGUCCACCUUUGACGUUGUGACUCAGGUGUCAUCUACAAAGUUUAUGUGUGAGGACUGCACAGUCCAGUUACAAAACCAACAGGCAAACUCCAGUCUUGAGAGAACGUGAACUGAGCCUAAGCAUUCAGAACUCUCUGCUUCCUGGCUGCGGAUGUCAUGCAGUCAGCUGCCCCGGGCUCCUCCUCCCUGGAUGUCCCCUCCAUUACAGACUGUACCCUUGACCUGUGACCCAGAAUAAAGCCUUUCUCC